ACACCCACAAAACAAAAUCACAAGGAAAAAAAACAUUUAAAAAACUCUUACAUUCCACACACACGCGCACACUCCUUCUCUCAAGCCAACUGUUGCCCUUCCCUCUUCUUCGCAUGUUCUCGGAGCUCCGGCUCCAUUAACGGAGCCCCAGCUCACAGCUCACAUCCUUUUCUUUUUCAAAAAACUAAAAAAAUUAUAACUACUCUUUUUUCGCCUUCGUUUCUUUUUUUUAUUUCAAACAUUUCUGGUCAUAUUUUCUCUUCAUUUCCAACUGCGUUCUCAGAUCUCGCAAACCGUCGAAGAUGGCCAAACCCUGGGGUGGUAUCGGCGCCUGGGCCGCCGACUCUGAGCGAGCCGAAGCGGAGGAGCUCGCGGAGGCUGCCCAAGCAGAGUCCCAGAGCUUCCCGAGCCUCAAGGAAGCCGCGAACACAAAGCCCAAGAAGAAGAAGAUGACCCUCUCCGAGUUCAACAUGGGGGGCUCUUUCUCCGCCUCCGGGCCCGCCGCCUCAAGUCGGGUCGGCCUCACUCCUGAAGAGAUGAUGCGCCUCCCUACCGGCCCCAAAGAGCGCUCUGCAGACGAAAUGCAGUUUGGUCGCCUCGGCGGUGGGUUUUCCUCGUACGGCCGCUCCGGUUCGAAUCCGGGUCGGGGAAGGGACCGUGACGACGCGGAAGGGUCGUGGGGCGGUGGUGGCAGAAGAUCCUACGGUGGAUUCGAUGACGACCGAAGGGGUCCCUCUUCUAGGGUUUCGGAUUUCGAUCAACCGUCGAGGGCAGACGAGGUUGACAAUUGGGCAUUGACCAAGAAGUCUCUUCCUUCUUCAGAUUCAGGUCGGCAGAACCGGUAUGGCUCACUCGGUGGCGGCGGCGGCGGUGGUGGCGGUGGCGGUGGCAGUGGAGGUGCCGGUGUGGGUGUUGGCGGACCUUGGUCUAGGGCAGACGAGGUUGAUAACUGGGCUGUUGGGAAGAAGCCUGCUCCUGCAAGAACAUCCACAUUUGGGUCUGGAUUUCGCGAUUCGGGGCCGGAGCCCGAUCGCUGGGCGAGAGGCGGACGCGAGGUGGACGGCGUUGAGAGAGAGCGACCCAGAUUGGUUUUGGAUCCUCCAAAAGGCGAGUUGGGCGUGAAUGAGUCAGUGCAGGUUGUGAAGACCAAUAAGCCCAGCCCGUUCGGGGCAGCUCGACCUAGAGAGGAGAUUUUGGCCGAGAAGGGGUUGGAUUGGAAGAAGUUGGACUCAGAAAUUGACGCCAAGAAGACGAGUCGGCCAACGAGUGCGCACUCAAGCAGGCCUUCCAGUGCUCAGUCAAGUCGGUCUGAAGGUCCUGGGCUGCAUGGGAGUGAGAAUGUGGUGAAGCCGCGGCCCAAAGUGAACCCAUUUGGUGAUGCCAAGCCAAGGGAAGUUUUGCUGGAGGAGCGAGGUAAAGAUUGGCGGAAGAUGGAUCUCGAGUUGGAGCAUCUCAGUGUUGACAGACUCGAAACAGAAGAGGAAAGGAAAUUAAAGGAAGAAAUUGAUCAUCUAAAGAAGGAACUUGAGAAAGAAUCUCCAGAUAAAACGAACAGCGAAACUGGGCAAGAGUCUGGUGGUGACCAGGCAAGUCUACGCGAUAUAGUACUUCAGAAGGAAAGGGAAUUGGAGACACUGAUCCACGAUUUGGAUGACAAAGUUCGCUUUGGUCAGAAGGCCAUCGAUAGACCUGGGUCUGGGGCAGGCAGGCCUGGGUCUGGGGCAGGCAGGCCUGGGUCUGGAGCAGGCAGGGCUGGUAGCUUUCUUGACAGGACACCUUCUCAAUCUGGGUCAUUUGAAGAUUCUAGAAGUACGGAAUUCAUCGAUAGGCCUCACUCACAUGGCAAAGGAGAUGCGUGGACAAGGCCUUUUGAUGACAGAAGGUCAUUUCAAGGUGGCAGGGAAAGAGGAUUUCUGGGGAACAGAGACAUGGGCAGGUGAGGAUAAUGCGUUUCUUCUCUUUCCUUUUUACAGUCAUAGGGAGGAAGUUAACCUGUUUAAGGAAGAAACUUGAUCUGUUAUGCUUUGCAAUGGCAAGGUCAAGAGAAAGAUGGUGAGAAAGUGUGCUGUUUCUAUGGAUUCAUUGAAUUGCCUUCUACUUUUGACAACCUGAACCAAAUAAUAUUUUGCCCCACUCUUUUUGUUUUCUUCAUUUUGCUCUGGGAAAUGGAGCAAGCAUUAUUGAUUACCGGCACUGGGAACUCUUACCUUGAUCUAUUGUUACAUCUUGAAACUAUGUAAAAUUGCAAAUUACUUUUCUUUUUUUUCUUUCUUUUGUCUGUUUCAUAUGAAGGAGCCUUGUAUUGCUCUUAGGAUCCACAUUUACUGAACACUAUGGGACUCAUUAGUCUAUUUUUGUGACAAUUGUCUGGGUGUUAUACAGAUAAUUUGGUUCUAUUGUGCA